CGGCGGACGGGUGAGUAACGCGUGGGUAACCUGCCUCAUACAGGGGGAUAACAGUUGGAAACGGCUGCUAAUACCGCAUAAGCGCACAGUACCGCAUGGUACGGUGUGAAAAACUCCGGUGGUAUGAGAUGGACCCGCGUCUGAUUAGGUAGUUGGCGGGGUAACGGCCCACCAAAGCGACGAUCAGUAGCCGACCUGAGAGGGUGACCGGCCACAUUGGGACUGAGACACGGCCCAA
rnacentral:rRNA from 1 species